rnacentral:lncRNA from 1 species
GUGUAUUCUCAUUUUGAACUCACAGGAAAGAUGCAGGAUCGGCGAGGUGCUGAGGCAGCGAAGUGUCAAUCAUGCAUGUGAACACACACACACACACACACUCACACACAGAGUCGGAUUUCCUGACAGAGGGUAGAAACUCUCCAUGACUGUCAUGGGAGGGAGCAGAGACUUUUCUCUUCUCUCAUGUCACUUUUUGAACAGAACCCACUGCUGUGACAUGUGUAGGCAGCAGGUCUCAUCCCGGGAACAGCCCGACGGCCUGGGAGCCGGCAUUUCUGAGCCACUCGCAAGCAGAGCAGGCAGGCAGGCCGGCCCACAGGUGCGGGGCCCACCUGAGGAAGCAGGAAGGGCAGGAGGGCCGCCUUCCCCUUCACUACUUGGGAAUCCUGCCAUCCGUCCAGCAGAGUGGCCGGGAAUACACCAACGGUGGUGAUUUUUCCAGCACUGACAAUUGCUGGGGUGAGCCGUGGGCUGCUCUGAAUUCAGCUCUCCUGCCGAAUAGAUUCAAUCGAGGUCUCCAAGUGCCGACGCUCAGCGCAGAGCAGCUCCGUUCCACGUCAGUCACCCACACCGCUCUGGGCUCUUUCUCAGUGACGGGGAGGAAUGAGUGGAGAGUCUGCUGAUGCACUUGGUUCCUUGCUGUCCACGAAAUAACAGCAAAUAAGUACAAGAAAGAUGAGAGCGAGAGAGAGAGAGACCGUGAGCGCAAGAAUUACACCCGGUAUGGAAGACGACUCUAAAUAAUGAUUAUAAUAUUGAUGAAAUCAAAGCAUCUAGAAGACCGUGCAUUCCAUUUUUAAUCUAGCUGAGAUGGCAUAAUUCAUACCUCCUCAAAUUUGGACAAUUAUAAAUGACUCAACCAGCGAGUGCCAAAUUCCACCUACACCCUGAGUAUACCUGAAGCAACCACCGAAACCCAAGCUAAUCGCCAGAUGUAUGCUCACUGAGUGGGUAACUUACCUAACCUUGAGCUCCAUAAAGUACUCUCCUGAUCUUCUGGCGAAUAAUUCAGCAAACGUCUUUCGUUGCUUGAGAAUGCCCUGGGAGGCCUCCUUCUUAUCCUCAGUAAGCUUGUCAGCAUGUUUCUUCCAAGCACAUAUAGCACUUCCCCAGAGAGAUCUAACAAAAUAAAAAGUUUCCUCUUC